AGCUUUGCGCAGUGCCGGUGUCGUAGUCAAUGAGGUUUAUCCGAGGCGCAAUUAUUGCUAAUUGAAAUAAAGAGUAAAUUAAAAAAUUGUUUGCUUUAUCAGUUUCCUUCAAUUUACUAGGUUACAUAAU
ensembl:snRNA U4 U4 spliceosomal RNA